AACGAACGCUGGCGGCAUGCCUAACACAUGCAAGUCGAACGAGACCUUCAGGUCUAGUGGCGCACGGGUGCGUAACGCGUGGGAACCUGCCCUUAGGUUCGGAAUAACUCCCCGAAAGGGGUGCUAAUACCGGAUAAUGUCUUCGGACCAAAGAUUUAUCGCCUUUGGAUGGGCCCGCGUUGGAUUAGCUAGUUGGUAGGGUAAAAGCCUACCAAGGCGACGAUCCAUAGCUGGUCUGAGAGGAUGAUCAGCCACACUGGGACUGAGACACGGCCCAGACUCCUACGGGAGGCAGCAGUGGGGGAUAUUGGACAAUGGGCGAAAGCCUGAUCCAGCAAUGCCGCGUGAGUGAUGAAGGCCUUAGGGUUGUAAAGCUCUUUUACCCGGGAUGAUAAUGACAGUACCGGGAGAAUAAGCUCCGGCUAACUCCGUG
rnacentral:rRNA from 1 species